UAUACGACCGUACCGCAAACCGACACUGGUGCGCGAGAUGAGUAUUCUAAGGCGCUUGAGAGAACUCAGGAGAAGGAACUCGGCAAAUUGACACCGUAACUUCGGAAGAAGGUGUGCCCUAGUAUUGUGAAGUGAACAACGGAGCAAGAAAGGGUUGCAAAAAAUCGGUGGCUGCGACUGUUUAUUAAAAACACAGCACUCUGCAAACACGAAAGUGGACGUAUAGGGUGUGACGCCUGCCCGGUGCUGGAAGAUUAAAUGAUGGGGUGCAAGCUCUUGAUUGAAGUCCCAGUAAACGGCGGCCGUAACAAUAACGGUCCUAAGGUAGCGAAAUUCCUUGUCGGGUAAGUUCCGACCUGCACGAAUGGCGUAACGAUGGCCACACUGUCUCCUCCUGAGACUCAGCGAAGUCGAAAUGUUUGUGAUGAUGCAAUCUCCCCGCGGAAAGACGGAAAGACCCCAUGAACCUUUACUGUAGCUUUGUAUUGGACUUUGAACAGAUCUGUGUAGGAUAGGUGGGAGGCUUUGAAGCAGGGUCGCUAGAUCUUGUGGAGCCAACGUUGAAAUACCACCCUGGUGUGUUUGAGGUUCUAACCUAGGUCCAUUAUCUGGAUCGGGGACAGUGCAUGGUAGGCAGUUUGACUGGGGCGGUCUCCUCCCAAAGCGUAACGGAGGAGUUCGAAGGUACGCUAGUUACGGUCGGACAUCGUGACGAUAGUGCAAUGGCAUAAGCGUGCUUAACUGCGAGACUGACAAGUCGAGCAGAUGCGAAAGCAGGACAUAGUGAUCCGGUGGUUCUGUAUGGAAGGGCCAUCGCUCAACGGAUAAAAGGUACUCUGGGGAUAACAGGCUGAUACCGCCCAAGAGUUCAUAUCGACGGCGGUGUUUGGCACCUCGAUGUCGGCUCAUCUCAUCCUGGGGCUGUAGCCGGUCCCAAGGGUAUGGCUGUUCGCCAUUUAAAGAGGUACGUGAGCUGGGUUUAAAACGUCGUGAGACAGUUUGGUCCCUAUCUUCCGUGGGCGCUGCAGAUUUGAGGAAGCCUGCUCCUAGUACGAGAGGACCGGAGUGGACACACCUCUGGUGUAUCGGUUGUCACGCCAGUGGCAUUGCCGAGUAGCUAAGUGUGGAAGAGAUAACCGCUGAAAGCAUCUGGGCGGGAAACUCGUUUCAAGAUGAGAUCUGCCGGGGCCUUGAGCCCCCUAAAGAGUCGUUCAAGACCAGGACGUUGAUAGGUCAGGUGUGGAAGUG
rnacentral:rRNA from 1 species